rnacentral:lncRNA from 1 species
ACCGUAAGGUACGGUGUAUUUAAGUGUUGUCUUGUUGUCCACACAAGUGAUUCUAUAAAUAGAACCCUUGUGUUGAAGCAUUACUAACUUUUGGUGAGUGCUUAACCUAAUUCACAAAAGUUGUGAAACCCUAGCCGCCGCUCUCUAAACCUUGUUAUCUCUGAAUCUCCGUUGGAAUUGGCUAGCACCGGUCAUCGGAGAAGUUCUGUUCGUGUGGACUGAGUAGAGGCAUAGCUGCUUUGCUUUGCUCGUGAUCAGAAAUAUUUCUUCUACAAAGGUUCUGCUCUUCAAGAGGUAAACACAUGAAUCUUAAAGUGUUUAAGUUUCUGUUUGAUUUGUGAUUAAUGAUUUAAUCAAGAUCCGUUUCAUUGGGAUUUCUUCCGCAAAGAGGAUUAAAAUUUUGAAAAACCCCUCUUAAAAUCCCUUCAGUGGUAUCAGAGCCUGGUUCUGAUUAAAUCAUUAAAUUCGAAUCUAGAUUAUGAAGUUUGAAUAUGAUUCAAAUUUCUUUUUGUUUUCGAUUUGGUAUAUACGAUAUACAAAUCGUUAAUAGUAUUUUUUAUAUGAAUUUGGCCGAAAGAAAACAAUUAUAAUUGGAUUCAGAAUUAUAUAUAAAUAGCAUACACAUAUGAUGUGGUUAUCCUUGCCAAAUUUCGAUUUGUGAAUAGAUAUGAUUGAAAUGUGUUUCAGUCAAAAUACCGAAAUCGCAAAGCUCGAAGUAUCUGUACGUUUUGAAUUUGUUCAAAAUUUUGAUAUGUUAUCAUACAAUUUGUGAGCACGUGAUUUUCUUGUCUUGUAUAUAUGUGAUGUAUGCAUGGUGUGAAUAAGUAUAGUUGUUCAAAAAUUGAAUUUCUUAGAAUAAACUAAUUUAUUUUGAAUGAAUUAGCUUACUUCUAUUAUAUGAUAAUCGAAUGGCAAAUUACUGCAUUUCUUUUAAGGAUCGUAUAAACAUGUUUAAAUAAUAAUUAAUUUGAUAUCAUAUAUGUGAUAUAUGAUUCUAAUACAACAUCAUUAUAUGUGAUAUAUUGAUGAUGUCAAUUGUUCAAUAGGUUUUAUGAAAUUGAUUGUGAAUUUAUAGUCAAUUCGUGAGAUUGAGCUUCGAUAUCCGAAUAUCCGAUUCUGGUGAAGCAUCAAAGAUCCGAUUGUCCAUACUGAACAAACAAUUGUUAAAACUAUUGAUGUUUGAUUGUUGUAUUAGGGUACCUAACUAUACAAGAGUUGUAUUAUUAUGGUUGAUCAAUUGUUUUCAAGAAGAUUGUUGUGACUUUGAACAAUUCGUGAGAUUGAGCUUCGAUAUCCGAAUCUGGUGAAGCAUCAAAGAUCCGGUUGUUCAUGCUAAACAAACAAUUCUUGAAAUUAUUUAUUUUAAUUAAUUUAUUCAAUUGGUGAAAGGUAGUAAAUUUAAAAGAUCAUGAUUUUGAAAGAGUUUCAAUAUCAUAUAUGAUUUUUGAAUUUGGUAAUAAAAUAUUUGCUUAAUUUUAGCACCAUAAUUUAUUUUUGAAACAAAUUGGUCGCCUAAAUAAUGCAUAUUUAAAUAUAAUAAUUAUUGAGUGUCAAUGUUACUAUAAUUAAGUAAAUAAAAAUUCUGCCUUUUGGAUUGUUUUUCAAAAGUUGUUUGAAAAGGUAAUAAACGAUCCCAAUGUCAUAGUGAAUUUAGAAGAUCAUGAUUUGAAAUAGUUUCAAUAUCAGAUAUGAUCUUUUGAAUUUAUUUAAAAGAUUUGCAUGAUAUUAAUAUAAUCUGUUUCUAAUUUAAAAGGAUUGUGAUUCUGAAAAGUUUCAAUAUCAUAUAUGAUCUUUUGGAUUUGAUCCUAAUAUUUGCAUAUUUUAAUUUUAUUUAUGACCCGAUUGAUUUUGAAAAUAGUUUCAAAAGAAAUAUAUAUGAAUCAAUUUUAUACGAUAUAUAUCUCGGUCAAAAUAUUAUUUCCAAAUUUUGAGUGAUUCUAAACUUGUUUAAAUAAUUAUAAAUAGUUAUUAUUAUUUAUUUUAUGGUAUAUGGUUAUGACCUUAGUUUUUGGCAUGUUUAUUUAUUUAAAUAUGACCUGCGUGUCAUGGUUUAUUUUAUUUAAAUACGACCUGCAUGUCGUGAUUUGCUUUUAUUUAUUUUAUUUAAAUGUUAAAUAAUGUAAAUGCUCAAGUUGAAGAGAAGACAACGCCAAAAGAUGAUUUCGAUGGAGAAACUUUUGAAGCUUGCUCGUGGGUCAAAGAAUUGUAAUAAAGUAGUUUAUUUAAUUCUUACGUGUUAGGAGGUCAUAACCAUACUAUCUAGUUUAUUAUUUUAUGUAUGUGAUGCAUGAAAUGUGUGUUUAGAUUAGUGCAUGUAUAUUUUAAAUAUUUUAUAUAUACUUGCUAUCUAUGAACAUGAAUGUCAUGUAUAAUAUUAGAUGUGUGUAUAAGAUACACAUGUCAGUGAGAUCAACUUAAUUAAAAUCCUUCAAAUAGAAUAUAAAGUAAAUUAUUUUCCAAAGUAUAACACACUUCAAGACUAAUAUCGAAAUGUGUAGGUUUUGCCUCCGCGAGGUGCACUUUCUAUACUAGUAAGUUGUGGUGCGGUAAUUCUAUUUACCGACUGUUAUUUUGGAUCUAACUUAACGUGAUUAUUUUAAUAAGAUUAAAAUAUACAUAUUUACUUCAAAAGAAUAUUAAGUUAAUUGCUUUCCAAAGGAUGACACCCUUCAAGACUAAUAUCGAAAUGUGUAGGUUUCGCCUCCGCGAGGUGCACUUUCUAUACUAGUAAGUUGCGGUGCGGUAAUUCCAUUUACCCGACUGUUAUUUUUUGGGUCCAACUUAACUAAAUUAUUUUAAUAUGAUUAAAAUAAAUUUAGAAGCAAUGUUUGGGAACAUCUAUAUGAUAGAUUAGAGUAAGAAGUUAUUCACUCAAAUGAUUUGAAAGUUGUAUGAGAUACAAUUGGAAGGAGUUCCUACCUAAAUAACUGAGUUUUGAGUACAGCCCCCGUUGACUUAAAGCAAGGUAGAAUAUGGAUUUCAACCCACUAGAAAAUCUUCCAAUGAAAUUUUCGGAUUCAAAUGUUGAAGGUCAUUUGAUUUGAGUAAAAUAGUGGGAGCAUAUUUAAUUAAAGAUCUAAUUAAUUAUGUUCUUAAAUUAUGAUACAUUUAUUUUAUUUAUUUUCUGUAUUUAGAAUUUUUUUAGCAUAUGCAUUUUAUUAUACUGUUAAAUAUUCUUAUGAAGAACAGAAUCUUCAAGAAAGAGUUUCUGAAUUGGUAUUAAGAAUUGUUCUUAAGAAUGAGAAAAACUGUUAAUGUUAUGAAAGAGUCAAAAUAGAAGUAAGACUUCUUAUUUGCCCAUAUAGUUAUAGAAAGUUAAAUUUCUACUUCUGCAUCAUAAGUAUAUGAUACUUGCUGGUUAAUCUCAUAUUUGUUGAAAUAUAGAUAGUUUUAAAGAAGCGGGACAUUAAGUAUAAGCGAAGUCCACUUACGUCUAGAAUGAGACAAAUUGUUUCAUUGACAUAGGAGAUAAUGCUUGGACUUAAAUUUAACUUAAUAUGGAACAAAAUAAUUGUUAUUAAAUUUCAUAUAACAUAGAAGCAUUAAAUCAUAAAUCUUGUGUUGACAAGAGAAUGAUUGUGUAGUUGAAUAAAAAGACAAAUGUUGUCCUAUUAUCCAAAUAAUGUUUUCUAUACAAGUGUGCUAAUCAAGUAAUGGAAUUGAGUUCCAUGAUCUUGAUAAGCUGGUCUAUAACUUAUGAGAAAAGGAUCAAAUGAGAUUAGAACCUUUUGUAUAUCAUUGGCAUCACUGUUUAGUACAAACAAUUGUGAAUCACAUUUCCAAAAUCCAUGGAUAUGGACUAUUUGACUCAUUUGAUUUUAUAUCAUUUGAAGGAUGUGAGUCCCACCUUUCAAAAUAGAUUAGUAUACCGGUCACCAACAAAGGUGAAAGGACACGUAAUUUAUUUGAGUUUAUAUACAUAUGAGAUGUAUAUGGAGAACUAAACAUAUUUGCUAGAUAUUGUUUCUAUUACUUCAUCUAACAUUACUAAAUCAUUUAGUAGAUAAGAAAAGUGUAUUUGACACGAUUCAAGAAAACUUUGAAAUUGUUCAAAGAUUUUAACAAUGAAGUAAAAGGAAUAAGUUUGAAAAGUAUAAAGACUAUACGAGUAAGUCGUGAUGGUAAAUGCUUGAUUAAUGAGUAUAAUGAUUAUUUAUAUCGUUUCAUUUUGACAUGACUCGAUCUAAAAUAGUUUGAUUAUAACUUAAAGACUCUUGAAAUUAAUUAAAUUACAGUUAUUCUUCACCCACAACAAGUUCUGAUUGAGUAAUCAUAAAUGCACCAUAUUAGAUAUGGAGGUAAGAGUACUUAUUUUUUGACUUUAUGAUAAUUUGAGGUUAUAUGGUUUACUGGAUAAACUAAACUUCAAAUUAAAUGAAUGUAUACUUGUGGAGGUUCCCUUAGGAAACUAGAGGAUACUAUUUCUACAUCUUCUUCCUUGCCAAAAGUUGUUUGUCGCUAGAACUAAAGUAUUCCUUUUCAAGGAGUAUAGCUUUGCAAGAGCUAGUGGGAGUGAUGUAGAACUUGAAUUAAGUCAAGUACCACAAAAUACAUGUUUCUCUAAGAAUAGAACAUGAACUGAUUCAACAAAAGGUUGUUGGUAAAUCGCUAGUUCGAGUAGCACAUGAUCUAGAUGAGUCUGAUAUGUCAUAACACUAGGAUGAGAAACAUGAUUUUGUCAUGACUCAACAAGGUGAUAUGAUGCUCAUAGAAGAUGAGCAAAUGACUUACUAGAAGGUCGCAAAUGGCCUGAUUUUGAGAAGUGGCUAGAUUCCAUGAGAUCUUAUAAAGAAUCCAUGUACACAAACCAUAUAUGGAUAUUGGUUAUAUCAUCCAAAUGAGUAUCACUCAUAAGAUGAAUGUGAGUUUUCUUGUAGAAAACUGACAUGGAUGAUAUUAUGAAUACCUUUAAGAUGUGAUUGAUUAUAGAAAGUUUCAUGCAACUCAUGAUGCAAAUCAUGACGAAACUAUUACAUCAUCGUAAUGCUUAAAUCUAACGAUCCCAAUUGUCAUUGUUGUAUAAUACGAAUUCUAGGAGAUGGAUAACGACGUUGCAUUCUUUAAUUAGAAUGACCUUAUAUAUGUAUUUGACAUAUUUGCAGGGUUUCGUUAAUCCAAAGGAUACUAGAAAGGUAAAUGUAUUACAAAAUUUAUUUAUUAGAGAAAUCUUCUCGAAGUUAAAUUGUUUAUUUUAUUAACGAAGUUUUAUGUAAACUUUGAUUAAUAAAGAAAUCUUGUGCACACAAGGAGAUUAGUGGGAGCAUUGAAAUUAGUUUGGUGGAGUAUGUGGAUGACAUACUAGUCACCAAAAUAAUUUAUCUACACAUGUAAGACAUGGUUAGAAAAUUAUUUUCAAUAUGUACCAAAAUUGAUUAUAGUAUUCGACACUAUAAUACCUUCAAGAAUAUCCUUGGAUGUCUUAAAGGACUAUAGAUUGUUUCUUGAACACCGAUGAAAGAAACAUUGUAAAUGGGUUACAAUGAUGUUGACUUUCAUAUCGGUGUACAGUAUAUCCAGAUCGUAAUUUGGAAUAAAUGUUAUGCUAGGAUAUCAACUAUGAAAUUUGUAAAAGUACAAGCUUAUAAUAGUUGUUGUUUCUAUUACAGAUGUCAAAUAUAUAUAUGAUUUGGAUUGUUUAGCUCAUAACUGAGUGAAAACAUGCGUUUCUUGCGUUGCGGAUUCCAUUGAUCUUGUAUGAGGUAAAAUUGGUUUAAAUCUUGCGAGCAAUGAAAACUUGAUCUCACCAAUGAUCCAAAUGUUAUUUUGACAAUUCAAUUUCUUUUCUAUAGAAGAUCGAAAGUGGAAAUUGAAAGAAGUAUAACCUGCCAACAUAAGAAAGAGUUCCUUAUCUGCUAGUAUAGUAUCUUGUCAAGAGUGUGCUUGAUGCUAACACUUGAUCAAUAGAUAUUGAGUUAAUAUUUGAUUGGCUUUUAGUGCUAGUGGGAGAUUGUUGGAAUAAGCCCUAAUAGCCAAUCUAUAUUGAUUGGUUUUGGCUUUGUAUCAUGAUAUUGAUAUAAAUAUAUAUUGUGAAUAUAUAAUAACAAGGCAUUUCUUUAUUGAUUUUGUUUUGUUUCAAAAUAAUAAAGUCCCUAGAAUAGUUAGUCCAUUUAAUGGAACAUUAAGUAUAACUUAAUUGUGAGAGCCCAUUAAACAUAAGGAAACUAUUCUCAAAGUAUCCGUAGUCAAGCUUUAUUGAGAAGUGGGAUAUCAUUAAAGCAUAGAGACUAUUAUGUAGGUAGACUGAUGAUCACAUCUCACAUAUCAUGGAUAAAGAGUUAUCAAGUCUUCACAUAGAUAUAAAUAUUAGGAGUAAUAUUUAUAUUGGAUUGAUCCGCCAUGAGAAUACUACAUAGUAAAAGUUAUGAAAAGUGUCAUAAGAUAUUCUCAUAGUGAUAGUGGUGUAUUCCACCCUUCGACCUGAAACCACUAUGUACCCUAGAUGUUGGAGUCAGUGCUUUGUCACCAUUCAAACGUUGUCCGUAACAGGAUGACUAUAAAGUUGGUUGAUGGGUACUCCAUGAAUCAUGCUGAGGGACAUGAGUGACCUAGAUGGAAUUUGCCCCUCCUACAUAACAGGAGAAAUGUCUACGGGCCCAAUAUUGAACUAGACAAGGAUGACACGGUCUAUGCCUUGUGUUCAAUAUAGACAUGAGGGCAAAAGGGUAAUUAUACACAUGAUCAUUAUCACAGAAAGGUUUCGUCAGAUCACAUGACAUUCUCGUCACUUGGGUAGCAGUGAUGUGUUGCUAGAUACCGCUCACUGUUUAUAAUAUUAAAUAUGUGAUUUAAUAUUAUUGCCAACGUUACGGGAACCUAUAGGGUCACACACAAAGGACAGAUAGAUGAGAGAAAUAAAUAAGUAAGACUUAUUUAUAAAAUAAUAAGUGAGACUUACUAGUAAUUAAAUAAUUAAAUAUGACUUUAUUAUUUAAUUUACGAAAAAUAGAGAAAUGCGAUUCACCGUAAGGUACGGUGUAUUUAAGUGUUGUCUUGUUGUCCACACAAGUGAUUCUAUAAAUAGAACCCUUGUGUUGAAGCAUUACUAACUUUUGGUGAGUGCUUAACCUAAUUCACAAAAGUUGUGAAACCCUAGCCGCCGCUCUCUAAACCUUGUUAUCUCUGAAUCUCUGUUGGAAUUGGCUAGCACCGGUCAUCGGAGAAGUUCUGUUCGUGUGGACUGAGUAGAGGCAUAGCUGCUUUGCUUUGCUCGUGAUCAGAAAUAUUUCUUCUACAAAGGUUCUGCUCUUCAAGAGGUAAACACAUGAAUCUUAAAGUGUUUAAGUUUCUGUUUGAUUUGUGAUUAAUGAU